UAGCUCAGUGGUUACAGGCAAAGAGCGUCUGCUUUACACGCAGAAGGUCGGGAGUUCGAUCCUCCU
rnacentral:ncRNA from 13 species